CGCCUAAAUAUAGGCCUUUGCAUUUGGCCCUGUUCAAUGUUAUCUUUUUUGGUUUGGGCCAAGCUGUCUAGGCUGUUGCAAUAAUUUUGAGUCUGUGAACUUCAUCUCCCACCUCCUUGUCAUCAGCACAUGCAAACCAGUUUUUUCUCUGUCUCCCUCCAACUUGCUCUUUUUUUUUUUUUUUUUUUUUUUUGAGACAGAGAGUCUCACUCUGUGGCCCAGGCUCGAGUGCAGUGGUGCCAUCUCAGCUCACUGCAACCUCUGCAUCCCAGGCUUAGGUCAUCCUCUUACGCCUCAGCCUCCCAAAGUGCUGGGAUUACAGGCAUGAGCCACCACUCCCGGCCAUCCAACUUGCUCUUAAAACAUUAGAGGGAACACCCUAAGGACAAAGCCUUGUAGUCACUUAUUUGGGGCCUCCCUUUGUGCAGACUGGGCUUUUAAGAUAUGGUCGUUUCCCCAGCUCCAAAUCUUCUGACAUUU
rnacentral:lncRNA from 1 species